rnacentral:sRNA from 2 species
AAAAUAGACGACUAGGGUUCCGGCUUGAUUCAGCGACGUCUGAAUGAGUGACUGGUCCGAGAGUUGUCGACCUUCAGAGUGAAGGUUACACGGAGGGAUAAAAGCCCGGGAGGU